CCAGACUCCUACGGGAGGCAGCAGUGGGGAAUAUUGCACAAUGGGGGAAACCCUGAUGCAGCGACGCCGCGUGAGCGAUGAAGUAUUUCGGUAUGUAAAGCUCUAUCAGCAGGGAAGAAAAAAGACGGUACCUGACUAAGAAGCCCUGGCUAACUACGUGCCAGCAGCCGCGGUAAUACGUAGGGGGCAAGCGUUAUCCGGAUUCACUGGGUGUAAAGGGAGCGUAGACGGCCAUGCAAGCCUGGAGUGAAAGCCCGGGGCCCAACCCCGGGACUGCUCUGGGAACUGUGCGGCUGGAGUGCGGGAGGGGCAGGCGGAAUUCCUGGUGUAGCGGUGAAAUGCGUAGAUAUCAGGAGGAACACCGGCGGCGAAGGCGGCCUGCUGGACCGCGACUGACGUUGAGGCUCGAAAGCGUGGGGAGCAAACAGGAUUAGAUACCCCGGUAU
rnacentral:rRNA from 1 species